rnacentral:rRNA from 1 species
UACGUAGGGUCCGAGCGUUGUCCGGAGUUACUGGGCGUAAAGCGUACGCAGGCGGCGGCGUUGGCCCGGCGUGAAAGCCCCCGGCUCAACCGGGGAGGGUCGUCGGGGACCGCGUCGCUUGAGGAUAGCAGGGGUUGGUGGAAUGCCCGGUGUAGUGGUGAAAUGCGUAGAGAUCGGGCGGAACACCCGUGGCGAAGGCGGCCAACUGGGCUAUUCCUGACGCUGAGGUACGAAGGCGUGGGGAGCGAAC